CUUCUACCUAUCAGAGACCGAAUAAACAAUGUGUACUGUGAUUUUCUAUUGCUUACUGGUAAUUGGCGCUGGCAUGCAUAUUGCCUGCCAUUGUAGCAAGGAGGUGCUUAACAGUUUACACUGGCGGAGUAUCAAUGAGGGAUGAUAGGAGAUGAAGUCAGGUCCAAGCCGGUGCUAUUGUAAACAUCACCGGCUGAAAGAAUAAAAAGUUGGUGGUAAGUCGCGCCGGUCACUUGGUCGUGAGGCUGUAGAGUGCUGGUAGUGCUACCGCGACCACUGCCGCUGUCGGCUGCAGUGCUGCCACCGUCGAUAAUGCUGCCAUUUGCCCAUGUGGUAUACAAGUGAUGAAACCCGAAAAUGACGUGUGACGUCACACCACAGCUUGUACCGAGAUCGAAGUGUCACGAACACUUACUACGGGCACAACACUAUCUAGGGUCAAAAGUAACAACAUUAAUGAAAAGAAAAGAUCACGUGUUACGGAGAGUGCUUAGACUCUGUGACUUGGAGGUAAUCGCCGCCGUAGUUAAAGCCGGGGCAAAGGGGUCUGCCCCAAAGCCCUCACCUGGACCCUCCUAGGAGAGUUAAGAAGACAUGUAGUCGUCGACAUUUAUAAAGGAAUUACACAGAUAAGUCUUUUCUUAAGCAACUUUUAACAGAAGGAGGUUCUCAGUUGAUCGGAUUUAUUCGAAAUUUAAAUUAAUUAAUUAUUUCUUACAUAUUUUAUUUUUUUAAAUUGUAUGUGGUCAAUGUCUGUGCCCGUUUCUUCUCUCGAGUUUUAUCACUCCUCGCCCCUUCUUGCCCCCAUCACCUCCCACACUGUGUGUAAUUAAUCCCCCUACCAGGAGAAGGAACCGCCGCACCUUCAGCGGCGGCCCUUAAUCUGUAAUUUAUUGUAUUUUUAUUUAGUACUAACAAUUGUAGAGGGAGGGUUUGCAAGGGCAUAUAAUACAUAUAAUAAUGUAAUUUUUCUUUAUUUAACACUGUAUAUGCUAUAAAUGUAUUUUUUAUUUAUUUUAAAUAAAAAUCUGCAUUUUAAUCAAAGUUUGCAUUUUUUCCAUAUUAGACAAUUUUAAUAUUAUUUUUAAUUUUACAUAAGCUGUCAAAACAAUGUAUCAUACAAAAACAGUAAAGAGGUUGCAUUACUUGAAUAUAAUUGCUCUUAACAUUCCGCCCGCCAUGGAUGAAUAGUCCAUAACCUAAGUAUAAGAAAAAAUUAACCAAAACAUAUUACUACAUUACAUAAAUAUUUAACCCCAAGACCAGUUAACAAUAGAUAAAUAAAAAGCUAUUUAACUCAUAAAAUUAAAAACAACAUAUUUCAGGGACAACACAAUAAAGCAUUAAAACAUUAGAGUAUUUAAAUAACAAUUAUUGAAAAAUACAACAUUAGAAUUAAGCAAUAAAAGUAAUAAAACAUUUAACAUUCAGUUCAUCACUGGUAAACAACAAAGUUUCGAAAUUGGACGCUUAAUUAUCGAAUUUUUGCUUCGCAAGCUAACUACGCGAGUGAUACCGUCUUUUCAGGAAUGCAACUCUGUAAUUCGGCCAAACAACAUUUAGCUGAUGGAAGAUUAUCUUCCAUUACUAGAACUAUAUCACCUACUUUAGAUCCUGCUGUACAAUUAGCCCAUUUGAAUUUAUGAAAAAAGUAUAUCAAAUGUGGUAUAUCUAACAGUUUCUUUCGUUUCAAAAUCUACAGCUUGCUAUUAUGCUAUUCAAUUUUUUUAUCCUGAUAUAACCAUUUGCAUUAAUAUCUGUUACAUGAACCUUUACAAUCCUUUCUUUCAAACGAGUUUCGUGCCUCUAGGUUCUGUACGUACGUAUUAUAUCCAAAGAGAUUUUUUUAAGAGAGCUGUAAGUGUUAUACCACGCAAUACACAAUCUACAGGAUUUUCUUUCAAUGAAACAUGAGAUCACUGUGACGAAUCUAAUCUGCCAUGUAUCUCUAAAUUACAAUCAGCUAUAAUAGUUUUCCAGCGAUUGCGAUGAUAACUCAACUAACAUAAAACCAUUGUAGAGUCAGUCCACACAUGCAUAUUUGCUUUUGGAAUAUUUAAAAGAUCAGUUACUUUGCUUAACAAUUUAGCUAGCAGGACAGCGCCACAUAAUUCGAGUCGAGGUAAGGAUAUCUGUUUAAUUGGAACUACCUUUGUUUUAACUUUUACUAAAUUGCAAUGAAUUUUAUGUUCACAAUCUAUGACUCGAAUAUAUAUCUACCAUAGCGGAAUAUGAAAUAUUUGAAGUAUCACUAAAAUCAUGUAACUCAAUAAUUACAUUAUCAUUUUUUCAUUUCGUUAUAGGUGCGAUAUUUUCAGAUUUCACCAUGAAAUGAAAUUCAUCAUUGUUCCGGUUCUAGGUAAGUCCUAUUAGUUUUGUUACAUCAUCAGAUUUUAUUUCAAAAUUGUUUGCUUUUUCUUUAUCAUUGCUUUCUUUAUUAUUUCUUUCUGUAUCAAGACAUUUUAGUACAUGCAUUUUGUUACUCAUCCACUUUUGCAAUUCAAAACCACCUCUUUUUUAUCGCUCUUUCCAUUGACGACACACCUCAACAACUUCCUCUUCAAUGUAACAGCCUGUCAUAAUGUCAUCCAUGUAAAAAUCAGACUUUACCCGCUCAGCAGCCAAUGGAAAAGUAUGACCUUCAUCACAAGCAACUUGCUGUAACGAUUUGACUGCCAGAUGCGAAGCACAAGAAGUACCAAAUGUGGCUGUCAAGAGACGAUAAUCGUGUAUUUCAGAGUAAAUAUCUUCUCGCCUUACAAUUUUUUGAAAAUCGACAUGUUGCUCUGCUACUUUUAUUUACCUGUACAUCUUUACGAUGUCAGCUUCCAUACAAAUUGGAUAUUUACGCCAUCUCAUGAUAAUAUGUCAUAAAUCUAGCUGUAAAGUGGGCCCUACUAUUGUAGUGUCGUUUAAGGAUAUACCGUUACUACCCUUGCCCGAUGCAUCAAAAACCGCCCUUGCCUUAGUUCUUUCUUCCUUAACCAUCGCGUAAUGAGGUAAAUUUAUGCAACAACUUUAUUUUUAUCCGAUUCCUCAGCAAUUUUCUCAAUGUGUCCAAAAGUCAAAUAUUCAUUAAUAACCCCUGAACACCGGCGUUUCAAAUUUGAAUCUUUUUAAAAAUUUGCGUUCUGGCCCAUGCAAUCUUUUUAUAGUAAUAGCUUUAGAAUUUUCACAUUUAAGAGAAGGAUCAUCGCGAAAAGGUAAGUUAACUACAUAUUUUCCAGAUUUAUCCCUACGUGUUGUUGCUGCAUAAUAAUCUUCACAUGCCUGUUCUUCAGGAGAAAAUAUGUUAUUUUUAUAAGAAAAGGGUUUAUCUUCUAACUCCCAGAAACGUUUUAACAAAUUAACAUCAGUAGCGUGAGUAUGCAUACUAGCUAUGACAUUAUGACAACCCUGCGAAGAAUUCUGUUCAUAUAUCUGACCGGACAAUAUCCAACCCAAGUAAGUAUCCUGAGCUAUUAAUGUGGCACUUGGACCUUUCAUUAAGCCAGGUUUCAAGAUACUGCCAUACACCUCCGCCCCUAAUAAAAUGUCAAUUUUAUUAGGAUAAUUAAAAUGAGGAUCAGCUAAUUGAAAGGUUUGCAAUUUUGGCCAAUCUGUCACUAUACAUUUUCUUUCAGGCAAUAAUGAUGUUACUGUAUCUACCACUCUAGCUGUUACUUGGAUUUUAAAUGAAGGAUCAUACCGUGACUGGAGAUUGACAACAACAACGUAUUUGGAAAUUUUGUCAUUACUAGUACCACCUACUCCCGAAACAACGCAUUUACUAGGUACCUUUUUUAGUUGAAGGAGCUGUACAGCUGCUUCUGAUAUAAAAGAUGCAUGUGACCCUUGGUCUAACAAAGCUCUUAGUACCUGGGUUGAUCCAUUUUUCGACUCAGCUUUGAUAAUAGCUGUGGCUAAAAGGACUUGUCCUCGUUUACUUCCAUUCAAAAAAUGGGAUGCUAUAUUUGUCUCUGUUGACUGAGUUGAAUCUUCAACUUCUUCAACUUGUGAUGUAGUAGCGACUACAUCUGCAAUAGUUUGAUCUUUGGGAUGCAAUAGAGUGUGAUGCCUACGCUUACACACAUGACAUUUAUUAAAUACACGACAGUUUCUUGCAUUAUGAUUAAUACCUAAGCAGUUAAAGCACAAGGAAAGCGAUUCAGCAAUACUACGACGUUUAUCAACAUUCUCCUGAGAAAACUUUUUGCAAUUGUAUAACCUAUGAUUUUCAGAACAAUUUAAUAUUUGACACAGUAUGCAAAACCUUUGGAUUAUUAACAUUACUCUGAACAACUUUUGGUUUAUAUUUGGGUUCUACGAAUUCCAGAGCACGAAAACGCGUUUCUAAAAACUCUUUGAAUUGUUGAAAUGACGGUAAAUCUUUAGAUGACUGACUCACCUGCAAUUCCCAUUGUUUCCGAGAUUCAGCGUCCAAUUUCAAACCCAUAAUAUAAAUUACAAUAACAUCCCAGGACUCCGUAUCAAUACCAAGAUUCGAUAGCUCAUGUAAACAAUCAGUGGUUGUAUCUAGGAGUUCCUUAAGAGCACUAGAAGAUUCUGCUACUAUGUUACGUUGACUGAAAAGUCGCUUUAAAAUACAAUUUGACAUAAACCUUUUAUUAUUAUAUCUAUCUAUUAACAUGUUCCAACAUUUUAUAUAAUUAGAUUGAGUAAUCGGUACAUGCCUAAUCAAUUGUUCUGCUUCACCUGACAGUUGUGUUUUUAGAUAAUGCAACUUUUGUACAUCAUCUAAAACGGGAUUGUUAUGGACAAGCGAGAGAAAUAAAUCGCGGAAUGAAGUCCAUUCAGUAUACCGGCCUGUGAACACAGGUAUUCGGAUUCUGGGUAAUUUAACCAACGAAUCUGCCUUAGAAGAGUUAGGUGAAACUUCGCAAUUACUACUUGAGGUACAACACUUAGCAUUAGAUAAAGCAUUUUUUAAUUCUACUCUAUAAUCUAAAUAAGUUUCAGUCACUAGUUCAAACACUUCAUCCUUGACAUAAUCGGUAGCAUUUAAAACAUUAGGUUCAUAUAGAGCGAUUAACUUUUCAUGUUUUGACGUAAAAUUAUUGUAUUGUUUCUCUAGAAUCUGAAGUCUUGUUUCUAAAUAGUUUUCAUUUAUUCUAUCUCUCGGCGCUUUUUUAAAAUUGAUUCUUGCUUUUUCUAUUUGAAUUUUAAUAUCUUCUAAAACUCGUAGGUUUGCAUCCAUUUUCAAUAAUUUUUCAAUUCAAUAUUUAAACGAUGAAUAUUUUCUAAGUCGGAUGUCAAAUUGUACUCACAGUUUUCCUUGAAACUAAUACAGAGACUGACACACUGCUGCAAUUGAUACUAGAAAACCACUCGAUGAUAGCAGCGGAGUCUCCGUCCUCAGCCGUCGCAAUAUUUCUUACCGUUUUGCAAUUGAAUACCACAGCUCAUCACAGAACUUAAAACGGCAGCAAUUAAAUCAUCCAUUCGGCUCGUAGGACCAAAAUGUAUAUGCCGUGAAUGUAUUUUUAUUAUUUUUAAAUAAAAAUCUGCACUUUAAUCAAAGUUUGCAUUUUUUCCAUAUUAGACAAUUUUAAUAUUAUUUUUAAUUUUACAUAAGCUGUCAAAACAAUGUAUCAUACAAAAACAGUAAAGAGGUUGCAUUACUUGAAUAUAAUUGCUCUUAACACCAGGGACAGGGCCGACAUUCUAGCAUACCGUCUCGGGGGGUAGUUCCAGCCCCAUCUCCUUCCCGAUCUUAUAAUACUUAGCGUCUCCAAGCAUCACGAGCAAGUGACGUGGGGUAUAGAGGAGUUCUUGUUGGGCGGGUCGCAAGUUUAUUUCGCCUGUUGAACUGCAGAGAACCGGGAACUUCCCAAGAGGAAGACACCCGAACCUGACUGAAUUUCUAACCCCUACGAAGAUGCCUUGUCGUGCUGACCAAGACCUUCAAGAGGAUACUAUAUACCAGCUACUUUUCAGAAACCUGAAAACUAAGUAGAGUUGUCGUACAAACUGUUUUCUUCAAUCUACCCAAACACUACAGUCCACUCUGCCCUAGACUUAGUAAUCACUUAUAAUAUGUAUUCUUUCAGAUAAAAAAAAGUUUCUUAGUCAAUUUAGAAGUGAUGAAGUUCUUCUGAGGUAAUAAACAUAAAAGAAAAAUAAAACCGAAUUGAGAACCUCCUUCUUUUUCUGAAGUCGGUUGAAAUUUUUUAAUUUAUUUUAGUCACAACCUGUUACAGUGAGUAAAUUGCCGCAAGUGUCAUGGGGACCUAUGGGUCAAGUACGGAUCAUGAAUGGGACUGAUCAUUAAUCUAAUUUUUUACUUUUUUUUGUGAUUCUAUAAAAUAUAUUAGUUUUAUAUAUAUUUAUUAUAGAUUAUGUAAAUAAAAAAGACAAACAUUAUCUAGUAUUGAUAAUAAGUAUAUCUAAAUGCAUGCAUGUUCUAUUCUAUCAUGGAAAUGUUUCUCAAAUCGUAUAUAGUUUUAAACCGCUUUGAACAAUUCUCUUUUAAUUUGUAUAUCAAAUUGGUUUACUUGUAUAAUAGUUUUAUAUAAAUUUAACCAUAGAUUAUGGAUAAUUUCAUGUUGUCGGUACAUUUACAAUUUACUCAAAUUUUUUUAAAUUAU